GUGUCCUUGGCCGACCGGCAAAGGCGCCAGGCUUCCAACCUGGACAGGCGGGUUCGACUCCCGCAGGACACU
rnacentral:tRNA from 1 species